AACCUUUACAAUGCACGCAAGUGUGAUAAGGGGACCCUAAGUGCUUAGUUUUUACUAGGCUUUUGUCAAGACUAAAAAUCUUGGAGAAUAAGUGGUGGGUAAGACUGGUGCCAGCCGCCGCGGUAACCCCAGCGCCACAAGUGGUGACCACAUUUAUUGGGCCUAAAGCGUCCGUAGCCGGUUUGUUUAAUCUUCUGUGAAAUUGUUGGACUUAAUCUAACAACGUGCAGAAGACACUGGCAGACUUGAGACUGGAAGGAGUCGGAGGUAUUCUUGGGGAAGCGGUAAAAUGCUAUAAUCCUAGGAGGACCACCUGUGGCGAAGGCGUCCGACUAGUACAGUUCUGACGGUGAGGGACGAAAGCUAGGGGAGCAAUCCGGAUUAGAUACAGCUUUUUUGCGUUGCAAAAAACCUGGGAAAAAGUUACCAGUUGAGUGGGAUUUUCAAUCCUACGAACUUCAAUGUUGGUAUUGCUGUAAACUACUGCCAAUAGAGAAGAAAAAUCGCAAUAAAGUUGCUAAUUACCCGAGUAGUCCUAGCUGUAAACGCUGCGAGCUAGGUGUUGCCUAUUCUUCAUGAAUGGGCAGUGUCGUAAUGAAGAUGCUAAGCUCGCCGCCUGGGAAGUAUGGUCGCAAGGCUGAAACUUAAAGGAAUUGGCGGGGGAGCACUACAAGGGGUGCGGCGUGCGGUUUAAUCUAAUUCAACGCAGAGAAUCUCACCAGAAGCGACGGCAGGAUGAAAGACAGUCUAAAGGGCUUUCUUGACGAGCCGAGAGGUAGUGCAUGGCCGCCGUCAGCUCGUGCUGUGAAGUGUCCUGUUAUAUUUUCCGACGGAAAAUAAUCUGAAAAUUCCGGCGGAAUUUACAGAGAGUCAGGCAACGAGCGAGACCUGCACUCACAAUUGCUAACGGGUAAUUUUUAUGACCGAGCACUUUGUGAGGACUGCCUUCGAAAGGAGGAGGAAGGUGCAGGCUACGGUAGGUCUGUAUGCUCCGAAUCUUCUGGGCUACACGCGCGCAACAAUGGUAGGGACAAUGGGAUACAACCCCGUAAGGGGAAGUCAAGCCUCGAAACCCUAUCCUAGUUCAGAUUGAGGAUUGGAACUCAUCCUCAUGACGAUGGAAUCCCUAGGAAUGGGAUCUCACCAAAGCCCAGUGAAAACGUCCCUG
rnacentral:rRNA from 1 species